AAAAGUGCAGCAUCAUAGCAACAAAUACAGAUGAUCCAACAAAUACAGAUCCACAAUAAAAACUGCAGACCAUUAUCUCAGGAGUUUCGAGACACAAGUUUAUGUGUAUCAUCAUAGUUCUCAAGUUCGACUAAAGGUACGCCAAUAACAUCAUGUUUUCUAGGGUAGAAAGAGUAUGUACAUAUGGGAGCAUCCAAAUCAAACGAAUUAUCAUGCCCACAUGGGAAGAGACACAGGUUUCUUAUCUAGAUAUUCGAGACUUCUAACGUCAGCAGGCCCACAAUAGUCCUAAGAACAUGGGCGUAAGAUAGUCCUAAGAGCAGGCCCACAAUAGACUUCUAACGUCAGCAGGCCCACGGGCGUAAGAUAAUUACAUGAGCCAACAGGGCCCACAAUAACACCGCUGCAAAACUUGGUCAAGGCAUCAGAACAUGGCGGUGACCCGCAGAAUAGUCCUAAGGUGCUCCAAAAAAUCUGUGCAAAAAGAGCUUUGCACGAUUGUUGACACCAAAGGCCUGCGAUCAGCUCCCUAUACGUUGAAGAGAUAUCCGAGAUCUUCCACGGUGAGCCGAGUUGCGAUGCCACCCGUUUUCUCGUCGCCAAAUGCAGAUGCCACCAUCUCCCUCUUUUUCGCCUGGCAACAGAAACAUGCACAUUUUGUCACAACAAAAAACAGGGGGAAAAAAUAUGAAGGGGGCAAUACACACAAGCAG
rnacentral:lncRNA from 1 species